rnacentral:rRNA from 1 species
AGAGUUUGAUCCUGGCUCAGGAUGAACGCUGGCGGCGUGCUUAACACAUGCAAGUCGAACGAAGCAUCUUCACGGAAUUCCUUCGGGAAGGAAGCGAUUAUGACUGAGUGGCGGACGGGUGAGUAACGCGUGGAUAACCUGCCUCACACAGGGGGAUAACAGUUAGAAAUGACUGCUAAUACCGCAUAAGCGCACAGCACCGCAUGGUGCAGUGUGAAAAGCUCCGGCGGUGUGAGAUGGAUCCGCGUCUGAUUAGGCAGUUGGCGGGGUAGAGGCCCACCAAACCGACGAUCAGUAGCCGGCCUGAGAGGGCGACCGGCCACAUUGGGACUGAGACACGGCCCAGACUCCUACGGGAGGCAGCAGUGGGGAAUAUUGCACAAUGGGGGAAACCCUGAUGCAGCGACGCCGCGUGAGCGAAGAAGUAUCUCGGUAUGUAAAGCUCUAUCAGCAGGGAGGAAGAAUGACGGUACCUGACUAAGAAGCUCCGGCUAAAUACGUGCCAGCAGCCGCGGUAAUACGUAUGGAGCAAGCGUUAUCCGGAUUUACUGGGUGUAAAGGGAGUGUAGGCGGCAUGGCAAGUCUGAUGUGAAAAUCCGGGGCUUAACCCCGGACCUGCAUUGGAAACUGUCAGGCUGGAGUGUCGGGGAGGUAAGUGGAAUUCCUAGUGUAGCGGUGAAAUGCGUAGAUAUUAGGAGGAACACCAGUGGCGAAGGCGGCUUACUGGACGACAACUGACGCUGAGGCUCGAAAGCGUGGGGAGCAAACAGGAUUAGAUACCCUAGUAGUCCACGCCGUAAACGAUGAAUACUAGGUGGCGGGGAAGCAAAGUUCUUUCGUGCCGCAACAAACCCAGUAAGAAUUCCCCCUGGGGAAGACGUUCGCAAGAAUGAAACUCAAAAGGAAUUGACCGGGGACCCGCCCAAGCGGGGGGAGCAUGUGGUUUACUUUGUAGCAACGCGAAGAACCUUUCCAGGCCUUGACAUCCGGAUGACGCAGGAGUAAUGUCCUGUUCCCUUUCGGGGCAUCCGAGACAGGUGGUGCAUGGUUGUCGUCAGCUCGUGUCGUGAGAUGUUGGGUUAAGUCCCGCAACGAGCGCAACCCUUAUCCUUAGUAGCCAGCACUUCGGGUGGGCACUCUAGGGAGACUGCCAGGGACAACCUGGAGGAAGGUGGGGAUGACGUCAAAUCAUCAUGCCCCUUAUGGCCUGGGCUACACACGUGCUACAAUGGCGUAAACAAAGGGAAGCGAGACUGUAAAGGGGAGCCAAUCCCAAAAAUAACGUCUCAGUUCGGAUUGUAGUCUGCAACUCGACUACAUGAAGCUGGAAUCGCUAGUAAUCGCGGAUCAGAAUGCCGCGGUGAAUACGUUCCCGGGUCUUGCACUCACCGCCCGUCA